GGUUUGAGUUAAGGUUUGUGUUCAAACAAGUAGUGAUUCUUCAAACCUUUUGGUUUGCCUGACCUCCUGGAACCUGCAAAAUCGGGAAUUUCAAUUGAUUUGAUUCAUACAUUCUAGCUGAAAUAAGAUGGUGCAUUAAAAAAAGGAAAAUAUGCCACUGCUUCAGGGUUUAGGCCCUUUCCUCCUGAGAAUAUGAAGACAAUUCCAAUUGGGGGGGAUGCAGGUGAUGAUGGUCCAUGUCAGACAAAUCAAACCUAGGUAUUUGAAGAAGGCCUUUUAAUUAAAGCGAGAAUGGCUUUCCCCUCCCAGUCCUCAUCCAGCUCCAUUUCUUACCCCACACAGAUGCGGCGUUUAUCCCCCCCGGCAACCAGAUCUCUCACCCCCUGCUGGUGCGAUGACUCAUCUUUUUGAGAUAUCAGGCCCACACUGCUCUCUCGUCUGCACACAUCAGAGUCCAGAGAGCCAUCGUCGAGAUAAAAGAGCUGGGGUCGCAGGUUGCAGACCUCUGCGCAAGAGAGCUGUGAAAGGAUAAGCCUGGAGAAAGAUUUACAAGAUUUUGACCGCUUCGGCAUUCCGUACCAAGCCUUUUCAUACUGAAACUGAAAGCCCAAGAGUUCUUGGAACCUGCCCAGUGAGACCAUUUAAGUCUAUCAGUCAAUAUGCCGCAACCUUGAUUUGGCACUUUUUGGAUUGCAAUAAAAAUACUUGGCAAUGGUACCAACUCUGGACACGAAACACAAAAAAGUUAUGGAACUAUUUCCAAUCCCUCAAUUUACUUUGAAGGGGAAAGGUGACUGCCCUAGUGUGUUAACAACCACCAAGCGGUUACUCAAUGUACUGUACACUGUACCUGGUUCUGGUCGUCAUUGUAUCACGUCUACAAAUGUGGUCACAGAGACCCAGUUCAGCAGAAUGUGGUAAUAUAGCCCAAAAUAUGAAGUCCAUGCAUGUAGACGCAAGGGUUUAAGAGGUUAAAAUAGCCAGUUUUUGGAAUCAACUUUCUUAAAACAAAGUUUAUCAUAGUUUUAAAUAACUAUUUCUAGGUUUUGAUUGGUCAUAUCUUGGCUCUUGAAUAUUAUCUGCCCUAAUCUUUACUGGUUUCACAGGAAUAUGCUAUGAUGGUCUGAAGGGUGCAGUAAAUAAUUUUCUUUUCACACUUCUCUCCACACCAUACAUCCAAUAAGGAUGUGUGAGGUGUGCUGUAAAUUUGAAGUCGGUGUUGGUUUCGAUCAUCUGUGUCAUCUUCCUGAAAUUUCCUAUGGAUCAAUUUUUACAUUUUUGAAUCACAAACUAUGACAUUAACUCACUUCUUUCCUUUUUGUUUUGCUAUUUAGUGACUUUUUAAUUAGCUAAACUAAUAUAGAAAUUGUGUUUUUAGAGAUUUUCUCAUGAUAGA